GAUACGUCUCAGAAGCGGUCGAGAUCGAUUAGAACGAGCUCCACAACAUUUAUAUCCGCUCGAGCUCAGUUGCGACUCCACCAAUAAAGAGGACGGGGAGGAGACAAACCAAACUCCUUUGGAUGCCAAUGCAAGAUCGUUCGUUCCGAAGCGAAAGGCGGCCAUCGAUGCAGAAACGCGGAUCCAAGAAACUUUAGAAAAUGAAC